rnacentral:tRNA from 1 species
GCCACUUUAGCUUAGUGGUAGAGCGUCUGCUUCGUAAGCAGAAGGUCGGCAGUCUGGAGCAUUUGGUG